UAUUAAUCGAUAUAAUUACACUAUGCAAUAUUUUUUUAUCUCCAAUUUGAAGAGUUUUAUGAAUCUUUGAGAAAGUUUUAAACUUGAACUUUAGAUUUCAUUCAUUUCCCUUAAGGUUUCAUGCGGCUUACAUUUUGGUAUUUAUAUAAGAGACAUUAUAAGCUUCUAAAUCAUAGGUAACUCUCCAGAUUUCUUCAUCCUGUAGUCUCUAAGUCAUCAAGGGCUGAGAAUUGAUUAGCAAGCUGUAUCUUCUCCUUACAAGCUUUCGUCACCUCUGUUCUGUUUCUUUUGUCUUUAAGCGAGAGUGGAGAAGACCGUUGCACAGUGCACGACGAUGUUUCUGUUUUGGCCUUAAGUGUUCUGUGGCCCAAUUCAUUUGUUUCUGUCGCAGGCCCAACUGAUGAAGUUGACAAAAUGCUGUCGUUUUGAAGAGGUUGUCUGAUACUCCCCCUCAAACGCGGUGUGGGUGGCAAAUCCACGUCAAGUUUGAACCUGAGAUCACAUAAAGCUUUAAAUGACAAUGACUUGGUGAACAUAUCAACUAUCUGUUGGUGAGCAGGAAUGUGUUUGACAACCAAAGACCCCAAAGCAACUCUUUCACGAACAUAGUGGUAAUCAAAUUCAAAGUGUUUGCUUCGGACAUGAAACACAUGAU
rnacentral:sRNA from 1 species